GCGGGCCCUGUCGGAGUGCCGCUGGACACUGCCUCGAGAUUUCAAAACCACCAUGGCGAUCUACGGACUCCGUACAACACUUAUCCGGACUUAGAAUCGCGUUUGAGAGUGUGCAGGAUUCCACAGUGGAGCAGUUGAUACAGGUGGAACCCCUGGAACGGAGUCUGGGCCAACGUUGCUUGGAAUUCGUGUCAAAACUAGAGUCACUCUGGAGUUGCUUUU